CAGUGCUGUCUGGCGGCACCACCAUGUACCCUGGCAUUGCCGACAGGAUGCAGAAGGAGAUCACCGCCCUGGCACCCAGCACCAUGAAGAUCAAGAUCAUUGCUCCUCCUGAGCGCAAGUACUCCGUGUGGAUCGGCGGCUCCAUCCUGGCCUCGCUGUCCACCUUCCAGCAGAUGUGGAUCAGCAAGCAGGAGUAUGACGAGUCCGGCCCCUCCAUCGUCCACCGCAAAUGCUUCUAGGCGGACUGUGACUUAGAUUUAAAAACUGGAACGGUGAAGGUGACAGCAGUCGGUUGGAGCGAGCAUCCCCCAAAGUUCACAAUGUGGCCGAGGACUUUGAUUGCACAUUGUUCUUUUUUUAAUAGUCAUUCCAAAUAUGAGAUGCAUUGUUACAGGAAGUCCCUUGCCAUCCUAAAAGCCACCCCACUUCUCUCUAAGGAGAAUGGCCCAGUCCUCUCCCGAGUCCACACAGGGGAGGUGAUAGCAUUGCUUUCGUGUAAAUUAUGUAAUGCAAAAUUUUUUUAAUCUUCGCCUUAAUACUUUUUUAUUUUGUUUUAUUUUGAAUGAUGAGCCUUCGUGCCCCCCCUUCCCCCUUUUUUGUCCCCCAACUUAAGAUGUAUGAAGGCUUUUGGUCUCCCUGGGAGUGGGUGGAGGCAGCCAGGGCUUACCUGUACACUGACUUGAGACCAGUUGAAUAAAAAUGCACACCUUAAAAA
rnacentral:sRNA from 1 species